UGUGAAACCCGGACACGUGUGAACGCGAAAAAUUUAGGUUCCACCGAGAUUUGAACUCGGAUCGCUGGAUUCAGAGUCCAGAGUGCUAACCAUUACACCAUGGAACCUCCACUAAGCCAGACUUCAGCAUCUACUAGCAAUCUUCUGCAUUUAUCAGCCACCUUUUUUUCAAAGAUGGAGGCUUCUCAAUAUUGCUCUAGCGUUGGAAGGAGAAUCCCGUCUUGUUCGCAGCUGGGAGGAAAAUAAACAAUGGAAAUAAAAUGGAGGCUGGCUACAAGGAAGGAGAGUCUCUGUUCAUUUGUUUUUUCAGAAACUUCCGUGACGGCAGCAUGUUUUUGGGGUGUCUGACAAAACAGCUGAAGUUCAGCAUCUACCAGCAAUCUUCUGUAUUUACCAGUCACCUUUUAUUCAAAGAUGG